AUCCCUUUUUCCUAGUUUCCGUGUGUUCCCAGUUUCCGUGUUUCCUAGUUUACCUGUGUUUUUGAUCCUUGGACUGCUUUCCUUGUUUUUGAUUGUUUGCUGCCUGCCCUGACCAUUGCCUGUGUUUUGUAUUACUCUUUUGCCUCUGCCUUGGAUUAUACUGUUUGCUGGUGCUCGAACCCUGCCUGUUUUGACCAUGUGUGUAAAUAAAGCCCUGCAUUUGGAUCCCCAACUCCGUUGACACGACCCCUACGUUGCACACAGGCAUGUCGGACAGACGAUCGGGGGCCAUGUUGUCCCAGGUGGUGGAGGGGGAGGAGCGCCCUGUACUGUACAUCAGCUGCAAGCUCUCAGUGCGAGUUGGCAGCAGGCCAGAUGGUUCCCCAGCCUGAGUCAGGUGGUGGGGGUAUGUGGAAGUGGAGGCAUGGAGCCGGUGAAGUGGUUCCAAGCCUGGCUCCUGUGUCCUCAUUCUCGUCCCGAACCAGAGCAAGUGUCACAGCAUGAUGCACAGAGAUGAACACAAUCAAGACAGAAGGAAAUCUAAGAAUAAAAUACUAAACUCCCACUCACCAUCAUGGACAGCACUGUAACGAUAGUGGAGUCAUUCAGGUUCCUGGGCAACACUAUCUCUCAGGACCUGAAGUGGGACAUUCACAUUGAGUCCAUUCUUAAAAAGGCCCAGCAGAGGUUGUAUUUCCUUCGCCAGCUGAGGA